UACGUAGGGUCCGAGCGUUGUCCGGAAUUAUUGGGCGUAAAGGGCUCGUAGGCGGUUCGUCGCGUCGGGAGUGAAAACUCGGAGCUCAACUCCGAGCCUGCUUCCGAUACGGGCAGACUAGAGGUAUGGCAGGGGAGACGCGAAUCCUGGUGUAGCGGUGGAAAUGCGCAGAUAUCAGGAGGAACACCGGUGGCGAAGGCGGUUCUCUGGGCAUUACCUGACGUGAGGAGCGAAAGCGUGGGGGAGCAAACAGG
rnacentral:rRNA from 1 species